rnacentral:rRNA from 1 species
UACGUAGGCAGCAAGCGUUGUUCGGAGUUACUGGGCGUAAAGGGUGCGUAGGCGGCUUUUUAAGUUGGUGUGAAAUCUCCCGGCUCAACUGGGAGGGUGCGCCCGAAUACUGAGAGGCUAGAGUGUGGGAGAGGAAAGUGGAAUUCCUGGUGUAGCGGUGAAAUGCGUAGAUAUCAGGAGGAACACCGGUGGUGUAAACGGCUUUCUGGACCGUAACUGACGCUGAGACACGAAAGCGUGGGUAGCAAACAGG